rnacentral:rRNA from 2 species
CNGGCUCAGGACGAACGCNGGCGGCGUGCCUAAUACAUGCAAGUCGAACGAACUCUGGUAUUGAUUGGUGCUUGCAUCAUGAUUUACAUUUGAGUGAGUGGCGAACUGGUGAGUAACACGUGGGAAACCUGCCCAGAAGCGGGGGAUAACACCUGGAAACAGAUGCUAAUACCGCAUAACAACUUGGACCGCAUGGUCCGAGCUUGAAAGAUGGCUUCGGCUAUCACUUUUGGAUGGUCCCGCGGCGUAUUAGCUAGAUGGUGGGGUAACGGCUCACCAUGGCAAUGAUACGUAGCCGACCUGAGAGGGUAAUCGGCCACAUUGGGACUGAGACACGGCCCAAACUCCUACGGGAGGCAGCAGUAGGGAAUCUUCCACAAUGGACGAAAGUCUGAUGGAGCAACGCCGCGUGAGUGAAGAAGGGUUUCGGCUCGUAAAACUCUGUUGUUAAAGAAGAACAUAUCUGAGAGUAACUGUUCAGGUAUUGACGGUAUUUAACCAGAAAGCCACGGCUAACUACGUGCCAGCAGCCGCGGUAAUACGUAGGUGGCAAGCGUUGUCCGGAUUUAUUGGGCGUAAAGCGAGCGCAGGCGGUUUUUUAAGUCUGAUGUGAAAGCCUUCGGCUCAACCGAAGAAGUGCAUCGGAAACUGGGAAACUUGAGUGCAGAAGAGGACAGUGGAACUCCAUGUGUAGCGGUGAAAUGCGUAGAUAUAUGGAAGAACACCAGUGGCGAAGGCGGCUGUCUGGUCUGUAACUGACGCUGAGCUCG